rnacentral:miRNA from 1 species
UGAGCUGAGCUGAGCUGAGCUGAGCUGAGCUGAGCUGAGAUGAGUUGAGCUGAGCUGAGCUGAGCUGAGC